rnacentral:rRNA from 1 species
UACGUAGGUGGCAAGCGUUGUCCGGAUUUAUUGGGCGUAAAGGGAGCGCAGGCGGUGACUUAAGUCUGGUGUGAAAGCCCACGGCUCAACCGUGGAAGGUCAUUGGAAACUGGGUCACUUGAAUAUAGAAGAGGAAAGUGGAAUUCCAUGUGUAGCGGUGAAAUGCGUAGAUAUAUGGAGGAACACCAGUGGCGAAGGCGACUUUCUGGUCUAUUAUUGACGCUGAGGCUCGAAAGCAUGGGUAGCAAACAGGAUUAGAUACCCCCGUAGU